AGUGAACGCUGGCGGUAGGCCUAACACAUGCAAGUCGAACGGCAGCACAGUAAGAGCUUGCUCUUACGGGUGGCGAGUGGCGGACGGGUGAGGAAUACAUCGGAAUCUACUUUUUCGUGGGGGAUAACGUAGGGAAACUUACGCUAAUACCGCAUACGACCUACGGGUGAAAGCAGGGGAUCUUCGGACCUUGCGCGAUUGAAUGAGCCGAUGUCGGAUUAGCUAGUUGGCGGGGUAAAGGCCCACCAAGGCGACGAUCCGUAGCUGAUCUGAGAGGAUGAUCAGCCACACUGGAACUGAGACACGGUCCAGACUCCUACGGGAGGCAGCAGUAGGGAAUCUUGGACAAUGGGCGCAAGCCUGAUCCAGCCAUACCGCGUGGGUGAAGAAGGCCUUCGGGUUGUAAAGCCCUUUUGUUGGGAAAGAAAAGCAGCAGAUUAAUCCCCCGCUGUUCUGACGGUACCCAAAGAAUAAGCACCGGCUAACUUCGUG
rnacentral:rRNA from 1 species